CAAAUUCACAGGGUUCCAACACUUACACGUAGCCCACUUCAAAACGUCGCAUGUUCCCUAAACACCGACUCAACCGUUCCCGAUCGUUUCAUCCUUCCUAUCUCUAAAUAACGCCACACUAUUUAUGGUUCGAACAACGCAAUGUAGUAAAUACAUUCCACAUUGUCGAUCCCCACCGGUCCAUCACUUCAUGUUGUUCUGCCCGUAUCCGCCUUCUUAUUCAGGUUUGGGGUACGCCAUUUUUCUUCAAAUUGGGUUAAGUUUGCUUGCCGAUGUAACCAUUUUACAACAAACACAAAUACCCUCUGCAAUUAUCCACCCAUUCUUCUUCAAUUUCACUUCUUUCAUCCUUGUGAAGAACAAAACCGAUUUUAUUCAAAAAAAAAAAAUAAACUCUUCCUUGCCUUUCUAUUUUAGUUUUCCCCUUGUUUGUUUUCUUAUUCCCCUUUUGAGGCUCUAUUUCUUCAUCUAAUCGAACCCUAUCACAGUGAUAAGAAGGCAUUAACUCUAAUCAGGGGAAAACAGAUGGGUCUGAUUUGGGAUUCACAGGGAUUGCGAAGGUAUCAAAAUCAUGAUCAAUUCAUAGGUUUAAAUGGACAUUUCAAACUGUUUAAUCAAAAAACCAUAGGCUCCAUAGCAUGAAGAAAGCUUAUACUUCAUUGAGUUGUCCCUAAAUCAUGUUCUCGGAAAAGAUCUUGAUUCUCUCCAAUGAGUCUAAUAUGCGCUACACAACCGUUCUUUUUUUGUUUUGUAUGAAUUCAGGAUGAUUGCAGGCAUCUAAGGCAAAGUAUAAAGUAUGCAUGGUAGCAGUGUAUUACACGUAAGUGGAAGUUAUGGGAAAAAGAGAUUUUUGAGGAACUUGUACCCCAUGGCGCAGAUCCAUCACAGUUUAGGCCUACCAAGGAAUUAUCUUUUGUGAAACAUCACAUUGUUUCUUUUACCAGUACUCCAACAAUAUUUUACCUUGUAAGGGAGUUAUAUAUAACAAAGUGAAAUAGUUUUAUAAUUAUUAUAUCUGAAAUUUAUGUGCAAACUAAUCACUAAUAGUUUUUUAAAUUAAAAAAACAUACACAAAGUAUAUAAUUUCAAUAGUUAGUUUUUAAGAAAACUAUGAGUAUGAUAGUUAUAACGAUUCACACUCAACAAAGAGAACCUAAAAAAAAUUAUAGAACAUUUACCAGCAUCAACACUAACUGUAUGGGCCUAAGAACAAAACCCACUUCAAAAUAGAAAAAACCCCCCAAAAAAACCCGACCCGUGGUUCACCACGGGUUCACUUACUAGUUAUUAUUAUUAUUUUAAAAUUGAAGGAGCAAAGGAGUAGUUAAUUUCAAUUUUUGUUGAAAACUCAUUGCUCAUGGGUACAUUAGAAUCUCGUGUUUUUAAUGUUCUGUUUUAACCUUAAACACAUCUACAAGUUUGGUUUUAAUAGAACUUGGUAGUACAGAAGCUUAUAGAGACCUUCAAGAGCUUAUAGAGACCUUUAAGAUGAGGCAACAAGUAUCUCAAUAAUAAUCAUGUCAUUCAGUGUUGCUAGCCAUACCUCAGAAAUGAAGAUGAUAAGGUUUGAAUUUUCUUUCUCAAUCUUAGUUUUAAUUUGAUCAAUGUGUUCUUAAUUAGAAUUGGUGCGUGUUUUUGAGACAUCCAUUAAUUCAUUUGGUUUAUUGGUUUUAAAAAGUUCUUUGUGUGAAAAGCUUGAAAGAGAAGUCUGACCUGUUGCAAUCAAGGGACUAUUGGCAUUCAUAACAUUGGUAUGUUUUUAUCUAAUGGCACUAUAUUAUGAUUUCAGGGCUAUUACGUCCUUUUAGGGCAUUUCCUCUUCAAAUUGUGACAAUCAGUCAUGGCUAGAGAUGAACAGAAGACAAGUAAUACUACUUUCUGCUAGACCUUGUGCUAUCAAUCUGGAUAGUAUAAAUCCAUGAUUCAUGUGAGUGCAUAUUGACUCAUUAGAGAAACAUGAGAGGAAAUUGGUUAUCUGAUUGUAAACCAAAAGAUUAAGAUAUGGUUAUCAUUUAAUAAUUAAAAAGAGAUUAUUAUCUUUUUUAAUUUAUAUCUUA